GUAGUUAGCCGGGGCUUUCUUACAGGGUACCGUCACUUCUUCGUCCCCUGCGACAGAGGUUUACAAUCCGAAAACCUUCUUCCCUCACGCGGCGUUGCUGGGUCAGGCUUGCGCCCAUUGCCCAAUAUUCCCCACUGCUGCCUCCCGUAGGAGUCUGGACCGUGUCUCAGUUCCAGUGUGGCCGAUCAGCCUCUCAGCUCGGCUACCCAUCGUCGGCUUGGUGGGCUGUUAUCUCACCAACUACCUAAUGGGACGCGAACCCCUCUAAAAAGCGAUAAAUCUUUGACCUCUUCCCGAUGCCGGGUUGUGGUCUUAUGCGGUAUUAGCAGUUGUUUCCACCUGUUAUUCCCCACUCUUAGGCAGGUUGUUCACGCGUUACUCACCCGUGCGCCACUAGAAUUAUCAAUUCCAUCCGAAAACUUCCUUAAUAAUCCCCGUUCGACUUGCAUGUGUUAGGCACGCCGCCAGCGUGUCUCUAGCGACGAUACGACCGUACCGACGUACGUACGACGGACGGUACGGCGACGGACGGACGGACGUACGACGA
rnacentral:rRNA from 1 species